rnacentral:rRNA from 1 species
CCUACGGGAGGCAGCAGUGAGGAAUAUUGGUCAAUGGGCGCGAGCCUGAACCAGCCAAGCCGCGUGAGGGAAGAAGGUCCUGCGGAUUGUAAACCUCUUUUGUAAGGGAAUAAAGGCGGGCACUUGUCCCUUUAUGUAUGUACUUUAUGAAAAAGCAUCGGCUAACUCCGUGCCAGCAGCCGCGGUAAUACGGAGGAUCCGAGCGUUAUCCGGAUUUAUUGGGUUUAAAGGGAGCGUAGACGGGUUGUUAAGUCAGUUGUGAAAGGUUGCGGCUCAACCGUAAAAGUGCAAUGGAUACUGGCAGCCUGGAGUACAGUUGAGGUAGGCGGAAUUCGUGGUGUAGCGGUGAAAUGCUUAGAUAUCACGAAGAACUCCGAUUGCGAAGGCAGCCUACUAGCCUGACACUGACGUUGAGGCUCGAAAGUGUGGGUAUCAAACAGGAUUAGAUACCCGUGUAGUC